ensembl:lncRNA
GGAACUCACUGAUGUGUGUGAGUGUUCUUUAGAAUGCUGAUGGAACUCACUGAUGUGUGUGAGUGUUCUUUAGAAUGCUGAUGGAACUCACUGAUGUGUGUGAGUGUUCUUUAGAAUGCUGAUGGAACUCACUGAUGUGUGAGUGUUCUUUAGAAUGCUGAUGGAACUCACUGAUGUGUGUGAGUGUUCUUUAGAAUGCUGAUGGAACUCACUGAUGUGUGUGAGUGUUCUUUAGAAUGCUGUUGGAACUCACUGAUGUGUGUGAGUGUUCUUUAGAAUGCUGAUGGAACUCACUGAUAUGUGUGAGUGUUCUUUAGAAUGCUGUUGGAACUCACUGAUGUGUGUGAGUGUUCUUUAGAAUGCUGAUGGAACUCACUGAUGUGUGUGAGUGUUCUUUAGAAUGCUGUUGGAACUCACUGAUGUGAGUGUUCUUUAGAAUGCUGAUGGAGGAGGAACUCACUGAUGUGUGUGAGCGUUCUUUAGAAUGCUGAUGGAACUCACUGAUGUGUGUGAGUGUUCUUUAGAAUGUUGAUGGAACUCACUGAUGUGUGUGAGUGUUCUUUAGAAUGUUGAUGGAACUCACUGAUGUGUGUGAGUGUUCUUUAGAAUGCUGAUGGAACUCACUGAUGUGUGAGCAUUCUUUAGAAUGCUGAUGGAACUCACUGAUGUGUGAGCGUUCUUUAGAAUGCUGAUGGAACUCACUGAUGUGUGAGCGUUCUUUAGAAUGCUGAUGGAACUCACUGAUGUGUGUGAGUGUUCUUUAGAAUGUUGAUGGAACUCACUGAUGUGUGUGAGUGUUCUUUAGAAUGCUGAUGGAACUCACUGAUGUGUGUGAGUGUUCUUUAGAAUGCUGAUGGAACUCACUGAUGUGUGUGAGCGUUCUUUAGAAUGCUGAUGGAACUCACUGAUGUGUGAGCGUUCUUUAGAAUGCUGAUGGAACUCACUGAUGUGUGUGAGUGUUCUUUAGAAUGCUGAUGGAACUCACUGAUGUGUGUGAGCGUUCUUUAGAAUGCUGAUGGAACUCACUGAUGUGUGAGUGUUCUUUAGAAUGCUGAUGGAACUCACUGAUGUGUG